rnacentral:rRNA from 1 species
GACAUCCAGAGAACUUAGCAGAGAUGCUUUGGUGCCUUCGGGAACUCUGAGACAGGUGCUGCAUGGCUGUCGUCAGCUCGUGUUGUGAAAUGUUGGGUUAAGUCCCGCAACGAGCGCAACCCUUAUCCUUUGUGCCAGCGGUUCGGCCGGGAACUCAAAGGAGACUGCCGGUGAUAAACCGGAGGAAGGUGGGGAUGACGUCAAGUCAUCAUGGCCCUUACGGCCAGGGCUACACACGUGCUACAAUGGCGCAUACAAAGAGAAGCGACCUCGCGAGAGCAAGCGGACCUCAUAAAGUGCGUCGUAGUCCGGAUUGGAGUCUGCAACUCGACUCCAUGAAGUCGGAAUCGCUAGUAAUCGUAGAUCAGAAUGCUACGGUGAAUACGUUCCCGGGCCUUGUACACACCGCCCGUCACACCAUGGGAGUGGGUUGCAAAAGAAGUAGGUAGCUUAACCUUCGGGAGGGCGCUUACCACUUUGUGAUUCAUGACUGGGGUGAAGUCGUAACAAGGUAAGCGUAGCGAG